rnacentral:rRNA from 1 species
UACGUAGGGGGCAAGCGUUGUCCGGAAUCAUUGGGCGUAAAGCGCGUGUAGGCGGCUCGGUAAGUCCGCUCUGAAAGCCCGGGGCUCAACCCCGGGAGGCGGGUGGAUACUGCUGAGCUCGAGUCCGGAAGAGGAGAGUGGAAUUCCUGGUGUAGCGGUGAAAUGCGCAGAUAUCAGGAAGAACACCAAUGGCGAAGGCAGCUCUCUGGGACGGUACUGACGCUGAGACGCGAAAGCGUGGGGAGCGAACAGG